rnacentral:lncRNA from 1 species
GUGCGUGCAUGCAUUGCAGAGCAAAUCAGAGGCAAAAAUUUCCCGGGUUUUCCUCCCCCUUCCCAGGCUCUUUUGGGAGCACAGGAGUGAACAGAGGGAUUGCUAUAGGGCUGAUCUUGCUGGAGGGGCUGCUCCCUCUCCACAGGUACAGCAGGACCCUGCAAGCAGGCUGGGACUUAGGGGAGACGGCAGGGGAGAUGGCAGGACCCAAGUCCCUGUGCGGAGACCGGACGCUUUCUUCCACCUCGUCUGUGGUGCAGAGAGGCAGGGGGAUAUGAGCCUUGUCACUGGAAGAAGCUCCGUUGCUACAGCAAGAUGGACAACAGAUCCUCUCCCAGAUCUCCAUGCCUGCUGGGCUCCUCCCUCAUUCCUCAGACCGCACAGGAGCAAGCCUGAACCGUGGUCAAAGAACCAGAGCUCCUGAGCACUCACAUGCAUCUAGAUUGCUGGGAGCAAGCAGGAUGAUGGUGUCCUCUUCCGAUGCAGUUGCUCAGUAAGAAACCCACAUUUACUCUGCCAGGCUCAUGCACACUGGCUUCUCCUGUGAGGGUCAGUUUCAACUACUUCACCCCUCUUUUAGUCAGAGCAAUUGAGAAAGCCAGCAGCAAAGGCCAAAACCACAAGGCCUUCUUCUUGAGGCCCUGUGAAAUUCUUGGAUCUCACACUUACGGCUGGUGAUGGGAUACAAGCAAACAGGGAGUGAUCUCCCAGAAGCAGGGAUGAGCAGUGCCUUCCAGCCCCAAAAUGGAGGUGGGUUGGAGCAUGAUUCCCAAGACUGCAAAAACCUGGCUUUACCAGCUCCCUUCUGAGACCUAUAAUAGCUGAUUGCACCCCAGUGAAGCCUACAAGUUGAGCAAAGAGCAUAGCCAAUGUAUUGCUCAAAUCUACUCCCAGAAAGGCAGGAACUGGCACUGCUAUUUCUUCAGUGUCUGUGACCCAGAAGAACUAGCCCAUAUGCAGGCCAGAAGACCAAAGUCUUAUGUUUGUACUCAGGUGAGGCACCUGUUGUCUGCUUGGCCCUGCACCAUGGGGUACCUCACAGCUAGAGGAGCUCCUGUUUUGCAGGGCUUGCAGCCCAAAGGCGCCCUUUGACUGCCUAGUCCAACCUUCCACCUCACAGGCCAACACACCCCCUGCAACCCUUGGCCUGAGCCCUGUAGUGUGCACUUGGCUGAAGCCCCUCUGGCAGCAAAGUUGCAAGGCCCUUGAAGCAUGGGGAGGUCACCGCAUCCAGGACAGUUCAUUCUAGACUUAAAUCUCCCCUUCUGCUUGCUUUCAGAGGACUUUGGGAAGAGGA